GAACGCCGUAGCAAUACGGAGUGGCAGACGGGUGAGUAACGCGUGGGAACAUACCCCUCGGUUCGGAAUAACUCAGGGAAACUUGAGCUAAUACCGGAUACGUCCAAGGCGACUUGGAGAAAGAAUUAUCGCCUAAGGAUUGGCCCGCGUCUGAUUAGCUAGUUGGUGGGGUAAUGGCUCAUCAAGGCGACGAUCAGUAGCUGGUCUGAGAGGAUGAUCAGCCACAUUGGGACUGAGACACGGCCCAAACUCCUACGGGAGGCAGCAGUGGGGAAUAUUGGACAAUGGGCGCAAGCCUGAUCCAGCCAUGCCGCGUGAGUGACGAAGGCCUUAGGGUUGUAAAGCUCUUUUGCCUGGGAAGAUAAUGACGGUACCAGGAGAAUAAGCCCCGGCCAACUUCGUG
rnacentral:rRNA from 1 species